UAUUUAUUUAUUUUCCUUCUAAUUUUAAUAAUUUUUAAAAACAAAAACAAAAAAUCAGAAGCAACGUUGUUUUCAUUUCGUGUGAAAUCAAUUUAUGUUUUCUUUUUAUUCAUUUUUUUAACAUAAAACAGAAAAUUAAAUGAUACCAAACAAGUAAGUCUAUCACCACAAAAAUUUCAGGAUUUUCAUAGCCACAAUGUUUAUUUUUAAUUUCAACAGUACUAAAUCCACACAAUUUCUUCUCUCCAGGCUGUCCGAAAUAAGAUGGCAAGGCAGAAUAUAUGUAAGAAGAAUUUUGAGAGAAUAUUAGAAUGUGAUCAACUUUUCUUUUAAUUUUUUGGUGUUCGCUCCAAAUGAGAAGGCCAAAAUUGAUAUACCUACAUUAGACUAUGUCUAAACUUUUCCUGAUCCUUUCUCUCUCUUACUCUUCCCUCUCUCCUCUUCAAACCCAAGUAUUAGAGAGAGUCGGAGAAAAGCCACCAUGGUCCACGUCUCCUUCCAACGAAAUUGUAAGAUUUACUGUUUCUUUGAUUCAUUCUACACAUUGAUCGAUCCAUAAAUCUCCAUAUAUACAUACACCUUGUAAUCUUUACUGUAUCUUUGCUUUUGUUUCUUGAUUUGUAACUUGUGUGUGAGACCAUGAAAUAUCCUCUCACAUGGAUUGUUGGUGAAAUUCAAUAAAGAUAGUUCCAUGAACAUGCAAGAGAUAAAUAUGGUUGGUGCUAAUCGGGAUUACCGGCCGGAGACACUCCGAUGAUGAAGUUAGAAUCCAUGAAUGAAGAGUAUAGAUAGUAAAGAAUGUUGUCUGUGAAGUGCAGAGAGAAAAUUAUACCUAUAUGCUAUGAGAUGUCUUCCUUUUAUAGACGGGGAUGGGCUAAAUAAGCUCAAUAAUUGGCCCCUUGACAGGCGUUCUUUGGAUUAAUCUAAUAAAUUAAUAUAUAUUUUUUCUGGCUCCCACAUUGUGUUUGUUAAAUUCUCAACUCGUGGCUUGAUCCGCUAAACGUUUCAAUGUAAUGGCAAAUUACGCCCUUUUGUCA